GUGCUCACUUCGGCAGCACAUACAGUAAAACAGAAACAUAGAGGUAAGGCCUGCAUGGUCCCUGCACAAGGAUGACAUGCAAAUUCGUGAGGCGUCCCAUACUUUG
rnacentral:snRNA from 1 species